rnacentral:rRNA from 1 species
UACGUAGGUGGCAAGCGUUGUCCGGAUUUACUGGGCGUAAAGCGUAUGCAGGCGGGAUCUUAAGUAGGAAGUGAAAGGUUGGAGCUCAACUCUAACACUGCUCCCUAUACUGGGAUUCUUGAGUGCCGGAGAGGAAGACGGAACGACACGUGUAGCGGUGAAAUGCGUUGAGAUGUGUCGGAACACCAAUGGCGAAAGCAGUCUUCUGGACGGAUACUGACGCUGAGAUACGAAAGCGUGGGUAGCAAACAGG